AAUACCCAGUCGAGCGGCGAACGGGUGAGUAACGCGUGGAUGACCUGCCCUUAGGUGGGGGAUAACCCGGGGAAACUCGGGCUAAUACCGCAUAACAUCGGAAGAUCAAAGGGGGCGCAAGCUCUCGCCGAAGGAGGGGUCCGCGUACGAUUAGCUAGUUGGUAGGGUAAUGGCCUACCAAGGCGACGAUCGUUAGCCGGCCUGAGAGGGUGAUCGGCCACACUGGAACUGAGACACGGUCCAG
rnacentral:rRNA from 1 species